rnacentral:sRNA from 1 species
UGGAAAUGGGCUGGUUUGAUAAAGAUGAAAAUUCAUGUGGAACACUUGGAGCAAGGCUGUCAACUGAUGCAGUUUCUAUUCGAACAUUGGUCGGGGAUGCUCUAGGUUUGCUUGUUCAGGAUAUUGCUACAACAACUACAGCAUUGGCAAUUGCCUUUGCGGCAAACUGGCAGCUUUCCCUCAUUGUUGUUUUCUUAGUACCUCUCUUAUUACUGAAUGGAUAUGUUCAAAUGAAGUCAAUGCAAGGAUUCCGAACUGAAGCAAAGAAACUGUACGAGGAAGCAA